AACGGUCUAUACCUGCGGUACCUGCGGAAGGAUCAUUACCGAGUUAUCAACUCCCAAACCCCUGUGAACAUACCCGAACGUUGCCUCGGCGGGACCGCCCCGGCGCCCCUAGCGGCCCGGAACCAGGCGCCCGCCGGAGGACCCAAACUCUUGCUUUAAACAGUGGCAUACUCUCUGAGUCUCACAAACAAAAAAUAAAUCAAAACUUUCAACAAUGGAUCUCUAGAUCGGAAGAGCACA
rnacentral:misc_RNA from 1 species